GCCGGGCAUGGUGGUGUGCACCUGUAGUCCCAGUUACUCAGGAGGCUGAGGUAGGUGGAUCGCGUGAACCCAGGAGUUCAGGGCUGCAGUGAGCUAUCAUUGCAUCACUGCACUCCAGCCUGGGCAACACAGUGAGACCCCAUCUCUA
ensembl:misc_RNA Metazoa_SRP Metazoan signal recognition particle RNA